ACACUUCCCUGGCAGGGGAGAUACCAUGAUGAUGAAGGUGGUUUUCUAGGGCGAGUCUUAUCCACUGCACUCUGGCUGUGCUGACCCCUGCGAUUUCCCCAAAUGUGGGAAACUCAACUGCAUAAUUUGUGGUAGUAGGGGACUACAUUUGUGCUUUCCUCUG